rnacentral:rRNA from 1 species
AGUGAACGCUGGCGGUAGGCCUAACACAUGCAAGUCGAACGGCAGCACAGGAGAGCUUGCUCUCUGGGUGGCGAGUGGCGGACGGGUGAGGAAUACAUCGGAAUCUACUUUUUCGUGGGGGAUAACGUAGGGAAACUUACGCUAAUACCGCAUACGACCUACGGGUGAAAGCAGGGGAUCUUCGGACCUUGCGCGAUUGAAUGAGCCGAUGUCGGAUUAGCUAGUUGGCGGGGUAAAGGCCCACCAAGGCGACGAUCCGUAGCUGGUCUGAGAGGCUGAUCAGCCACACUUGAACUGAGACACGGUAGAGACGCCUACGGGAGGCAGCAGUGGUGAAUAUUGGCCAAUGGGCGCAAGCCCGAUCCAGCCAUACCGCGUGAGUGAAGAAGGCCUUCGGGUUGUAAAGCCCUUUUGUUGGGAAAGAACUCCAGCUGGUUAAUACCCGGUUGGGAUGACGGUACCCAAAGAAUAAGCACCGGCUAACUUCGUGCCAGCCGCCGCCGUAA